AGCACUCUCACCCCUUCCAGCAAGGGAGGACACAGCAAGAAGGUGCCGUCCAUGGGCCAGAAAGUGGGCCCUCAGCAGACGCUGAAUCUGCCUUAAUAUUGGACCGCGCAGCCUCUAGAAGUGUGAGAAGCAAAUUUCUGUUGUUGUCUCACACUGUUGCCCAGGCUGGAGUGCAGUGGUGCAAUCUCGGCUCACUUCAACCUCCGCCUUCCUGGUUCAAGAGAUUCUCCUGCCUUAGCUUCCCAAGUAGCUGCAACUACAGCUGAGGAAGGAAAUUGAAGCUCAAAAUGGUUGAAUUACGCUACAGCAUCAUCCAGGUUUGGUGGCGUGUGCCUGCAGUCCCAGCUCCUUGGGAGGCCGAAGCUGUGGAGUUUGAAGCUGCAGGCUGCUGUGAGCCGUGAUGGCACCAUGCGCUCCAACCUGGAUGACAGAGCAGGACCUUGUCUCUAAAACAAAACAGAGAAAAGAAUUUGGUUUAUAUGUCCUAAUAUAUUUAAUUAUGCCAGCUUACCUCAUGUGUUCAUUUAUUUCAAUCCGCAAAUCCAAAAUGCUUGAAAAUAUAAAUCCCAG